GGUGUUUACUGUCGAACUGAACACUCUACCGUUUACUGUCUGGUGGUGCUCUUCACCGAGUGUCACCAGUGGUCGGUACGUUUACUUUGAAAAAAUUAGAGUGCUCAAGCGGUUUUUACACGACCGAAUACUGUGCAUGAAUAAUGAAAUAGACUUUGGUUCUAUUUUGUGGUCUUCGGACCAAGGUAAUGAUCAGAGGGACAGACGGGGGCAUUAGUAUUGCGACGCUAGAGGUGAAAUUCUGGACCGUCGCAAGACUAACUAAAGCGAAAGCAUUUGCCAAGAAUGUUUUCAUUAAUCAAGAACGAAAGUUAGAGGUUCGAAGGCGAUCAGAUACCGCCCUAGUUCUAACCAUAAACGAUGCCAACCAGCAAUCAGCCUGUGUUCUCUUGAUGACACGGCUGGCGGCUUCCGGGAAACCAAAGUCUUUCGGUUCCAGGGGAAGUAUGGUUGCAAAGCUGAAACUUAAAGGAAUUGACGGAAGGGCACCACCAGGAGUGGAGCCUGCGGCUUAAUUUGACUCAACACGGGGAAACUCACCCGGCCCGGACACUGUGAGGAUUGACAGGUUGAAGCCCUUUCUUGAUUCAGUGGGUGGUGGUGCAUGGCCGUUCUUAGUUGGUGGAGUGAUCUGUCUGGUUAAUUCCGAUAACGAACGAGACUCUAGCCUACUAAUUAGACCGUGGCGUCCUCGUGCCGCCACGGCGCUUCCUAGAGGGACAGACGG
rnacentral:rRNA from 1 species